GAUGAAGAACGUAGCGAAAUGCGAUAAGUAAUGUGAAUUGCAGAAUUCAGUGAAUCAUCGAAUCUUUGAACGCACAUUGCGCCCGCCAGUAUUCUGGCGGGCAUGCCUGUUCGAGCGUCAUUUCAACCCUCGAACCCCUCCGGGGGGUCGGCGUUGGGGAUCGGCCCUUUCACCGGGUGCCGGCCCCUAAAUACAGUGGCGGUCUCGCCGCAGCCUCUCAUGCGCAGUAGUUUGCACACUCGCACCGGGAGCGCGGCGCGUCCUCGUCCGUAAAACACCCCAAACUUCUGAAAUGUUGACCUCGGAUCAGGUAGGAAUACCCGCUGAACUUAAGCAUAUCAAUAAGCGGAGGA
rnacentral:misc_RNA from 1 species